AGCGAACGCUGGCGGCAGGCCUAAUACAUGCAAGUCGAGCGCACCUUCGGGUGAGCGGCGGACGGGUGAGUAACGCGUGGGAAUGUGCCCUUUGGUACGGAACAACUGAGGGAAACUUCAGCUAAUACCGUAUGGUGCCCUUCGGGGGAAAGAUUUAUCGCCAUUGGAGCAGCCCGCGUUGGAUUAGGUAGUUGGUGAGGUAAAGGCUCACCAAGCCUACGAUCCAUAGCUGGUC
rnacentral:rRNA from 1 species